AGGACUUUAUCUUAAUUUAAAGAGCUUGAGUUGCAUUCAUGAGAUGUAGGUUGAUAUCCCACAAGUCCUA
rnacentral:tRNA from 1 species